UUAAGCAAAUUUUUCGCUUAAGCAGCUCCAUGAAAUUGAGCCCAGUUGCUUACAGCAAAGGUGACGUAUAAGGUACCAGCGCAAGAGUAAAAACUAACAAAUUUUCUCUUCACGGCUCCUAACCUUUCUUUCACAAGGACUAAUGAUUGUUUUUGUUUUCAACAGUAAUUCAUCGCUUAGAAGGAUGUUGUGGCAACCUGUGGAUUGGUGGCAGCUUUUGGACACCGUAGAUGACACUGAAAUCAUGUUUUCUUCUUCAAGAUGAUGAAGUUGUGUGUUGGAUGACAUCUUCACUGAUCCGAGAUGAUGCCUAUAAGCAAGACCAGUGGUAAUACAGGAUUUGUCUGGUGGGAGUGGUGACUACAACUGGACCUGUUUGGAUCAGCAUCGUUUUAGGAUACAUGUGGUAGUAACUACAACUGGCUAAGAGUUUGGAUGAACCUUGUUGGAUGAUAAACGUGCACAAUUUCGACAAAUGUUUGAGCAGUCUCUUGUGUGUUAUCACUAUAAACGGAUCUGUUUAGAUUAACAUCAAAUAGAUGAUACAAGUGCAAAGAGUGAACCGGAUGAUUGAGACAAUGACAAAGGUCUACACCCACUGGGCUAAUACCUCCUUUGACUCUGCCACGUUCUGAAUGACUGUGUCAAGUUUAGCCAGAUGUCAAUCCAAUGCAAG